CCUACGGGGAGCAUCAGUGGGGAAUAUUGGACAAUGGGCGAAAGCCUGAUCCAGCCAUGCCGCGUGUGUGAAGAAGGCCUUCGGGUUGUAAAGCACUUUCAGUGGGGAAGAAAGCCUUGGGGCUAAUACCCUCGAGGAAGGACAUCACCCACAGAAGAAGCACCGGCUAACUCCGUGCCAGCAGCCGCGGUAAUACGGAGGGUGCGAGCGUUAAUCGGAAUUACUGGGCGUAAAGCGCGCGUAGGCGGUCUGAUAAGCCGGUUGUGAAAGCCCCGGGCUCAACCUGGGAACGGCAUCCGGAACUGUCAGGCUAGAGUGCAGGAGAGGAAGGUAGAAUUCCCGGUGUAGCGGUGAAAUGCGUAGAGAUCGGGAGGAAUACCAGUGGCGAAGGCGGCCUUCUGGACUGACACUGACGCUGAGGUGCGAAAGCGUGGGUAGCAAACAGGAUUAGAUACCCGAGUAGUC
rnacentral:rRNA from 1 species